rnacentral:rRNA from 1 species
GUGGGGAAUUUUGGACAAUGGGCGCAAGCCUGAUCCAGCAAUGCCGCGUGUGUGAAGAAGGUCUUUGGAUUGUAAAGCACUUUAAGUUGGGAGGAAGGGCAGUAAGUUAAUACCUUGCUGUUUUGACGUUACCGACAGAAUAAGCACCGGCUAACUACGUGCCAGCAGCCGCGGUAAUACGUAGGGUGCAAGCGUUAAUCGGAAUUACUGGGCGUAAAGCGCGCGUAGGUGGUUUUGUAAGUUGGAGGUGAAAUCCCCGGGCUCAACCUGGGAACUGCCUCCAAAACUGCAUGACUAGAGUACGGUAGAGGGUAGUGGAAUUUCCUGUGUAGCGGUGAAAUGCGUAGAUAUAGGAAGGAACACCAGUGGCGAAGGCGACUACCUGGACUGAUACUGACACUGAGGUGCGAAAGCGUGGGGAGCAAACAGGAUUAGAUACCCCAGUAGUCC